UGUCAUUGCCUGCUGACGUCAG
rnacentral:misc_RNA from 1 species